GCAUAACGCGAAGAACCUUACCAAGGCUUGACAUCCCUCUGACCGAUUUAGAGAUAGAUCUUUCCCUUCGGGGACAGAGGUGACAGGUGGUGCAUGGUUGUCGUCAGCUCGUGUCGUGAGAUGUUGGGUUAAGUCCCGCAACGAGCGCAACCCUUAUCUUUAGUUGCCAGCAUUUAGUUGGGCACUCUAGAGAGACUGCCGGUGACAAACCGGAGGAAGGUGGGGAUGACGUCAAAUCAUCAUGCCCCUUAUGUCUUGGGCUACACACGUGCUACAAUGGUUGGUACAAAGGGCUGCAAGCCAGCGAUGGUUAGCCAAUCCCAUAAAGCCAAUCUCAGUUCGGAUUGUAGGCUGCAACUCGCCUACAUGAAGUCGGAAUCGCUAGUAAUCGCAGAUCAGCAUGCUGCGGUGAAUACGUUCCCGGGUCUUGUACACACCG
rnacentral:rRNA from 1 species